rnacentral:tRNA from 1 species
GGGCGCAUAGCUCAGUUGGUAGAGCACUGCCCUUACAAGGCAUUGGUCGGGGGUUCGAGUCCCUCUGCGCCCAC